rfam:Talaromyces stipitatus strain ATCC 10500 mitochondrion, partial genome.
AUUAUGUAUAAAAAGAAAUUAUUAUGGAUAAUUAGCUAUAUAUUAAAGAAUCACAUAGAUGUUAUCUUGAUUCUAAGAGAAAUCCUAAAUAAUAAAACAAAGUGAAUUGAAAUAUCUUAGUAACUUUAGGAAAAUAAAUCAAACGAGAUUGUUAUUUAAGUAAAUACUAAAUAAUAAUAGCCUAAUUUAAGUAAAAUGGAUAAUAUCUGUUUGAAUAUAGGGGAACCUUCCUCUAAGGCUAAAUAUGAUAUAUAAGCGAUAGUGAAUAGUACCGUGAGGUAAAAUUUGAAAUAGUAAUUUUAUAAGCAGCUCGAGUAAAAAUUAAAAUUAAAAAUAAGAGUGUACCUUUUGCAUAAUGGGUCAGCAAGUUAAUUUUAGAUGCAAGUGUAUAAUUUUUAGUAUUUUUUGAGAUAUUAAAUUAUCUAAGAUAAACCAAUUAUGAAAAAAUGAUAAGUAUCUAAAAUUAGACCCGAAGGCUAGUGAUCUUACCAUGGUCAGGGUUAAAAAAGCCCGAACGGGUUAUCGUUGUAUAGAUAUCCGAUGAAUUGUGGUAAGUUAGUGAAAGAUAAAACUGACUAGUAUAGCUGGUUUUCCGCGAAACCUAUGUGAGUAGGUAAUUUAAUUAACAUCUUAGCAGGUACAGAACUGUGAUCUCGGACAAUAUUAUUUAUAUAAUAUUUGUUUACAUCGGGGGAUUGUAGUGAUUUUAUCGGAGAGUAUUUGCACUCGGAAGGGCAAAGAUGAUUGUUGAAUAAUCGGACAUAGUACGAUAAGGUUGUAUGUCUAAAGGGAAACAGCCCAGAACAAGAGUUUAAGGUUCCAAAAUUAUUGUUAAGUGAAAUUAAGGAUGUUUUUUUCAAAAACAAUCAGGAAAUAGGCUUAGAGGCGGCCAUUUUUUGAAGAUCUCGUAACAGAGCACUGAUUAAAUUUAAUAGGAAAAAAUACCGAAAAUUUAACGGAUCUAAAUAAUAUACCGAAACCUUGUACACAAUAACUGUGGGGUAGCGGAACAUCGGAUGUUUGAAUAUUAAGUAUAUUUUUUUUUUUAAGUAUACUUACAAGUAUAAUAUAAUAUAUACUUUUUAUUUUAUAUUAUACUGAGAGAAUUCCGAUAGAUAAUGCUGACAUGAGUAACGAAAAAGUUAACCUCGCCUUAAGCUUAUGGUAUUUUAUUUAAUUUUCGGUGUCUAAGUAAUUAAUCUAAAGAUAAUUGCGAUGACGUAAUGGUGAAUAUGUAAUUAAUAUAUUUAUUAAUUAUAUUUCUAACUAAUUACUAAACUAUUGAUAUACAAUAUGUAUAUAUUUAUUAUUUUAUUGAAAGAUUGCAUAACCUUUGUAAAGUAGCAUAGGUUCAGGAAGUAAAUUUUUCAUUAUAUAUAUAUAUAUAUACUUAGAUAUUGCUGUAUUAAAUUAUAUAGUUAUAGUAGUUAGUAUAUACCGUACCUAGAUACUAACACAAGUAAGCAAGUAGAGUAUACAAAGGCGUUUGAGUGAACAAUCAUUAAGGAACUCGGCAAAUUAACUACCGUAACUUCGGGAUAAGGAGAACCAUUUUUAUUAGUUUGACCAAUUUUUGGAUAAUUAUUAAAUUAAUAGAAAGAGGAGGCAUAGAAUAAUGUUGUACGACUGUUUAAUAAAAACAAAGCACUCUGCCAAGAUAAAAUGUCUAAGUAUUGAGUGUGAUGUCUGCCCAAUGUCGGCUGGAUAACGAAUUUAUCUUGAUAUUUAUUUAAGGUUUUGAAGGAUACCCCGAUCAAUGGCGGCCUUACCUAUGAGGGUCCUAAGGUAGCGGAAUACCUUGGCCGUUAAAUGCGGUCUUUGCAUGAAUGACUUAACGAUACAACAGCUGUCUCGAUGAUUGUCUCAGUGAAAUUGGAAUAGCAGUGCAGAUACUGUUUACCUCUAGAUAGACGAGAAGACCCUAUGCAGCUUUACUGUUACUAAUUACAAGAGAUUAACUUUAAGUUAAUUGCGAGUGUAUAAGGUAGUCGUAAGACAAUAAUGAAACACCUUUAUUUGUACUUAUCAUAUACUCUUGAUGAUUAGGAGGCAGUUUAUGCGGGGCACAGAUCCCACAAAAAGUACCUGGGUAUAUCCAAAGUUCAUAUUGUAAAUUUGUAAAUUAUUAGUUACAAAUAUUUUAAUUUGUUAUUAAUUAUGUUAGUAAUAAUACAGUUAUUAUUAGAUUAAAUUCAGUAUAUUUUUUUAUUUUUAGUAAGAUUUUAACUAUAUGGUGAAUAGAUGUAUUUUAAGCUAAAAGUUGUUUUAGCUUAUUUUUAUAUUAAUAUUGUAUAUGUUCUUUAUUAAUAUAAUUUUUAUAUAUACUAUAAAAGUUUAAUGGCUAAAUCUUGCUUUACUGUUUGACUUACAAGUCUAUCAGUCGCGUAAGCGGGGCAUAUGAUCACAAGAUGCAUAAAGGAAAGGUCUUGGAUUAAAGAAAAAGUUACGCUAGGGAUUUAGCUUAAGUCCCUUAAUAUCAUAAGAUAUUAUAUAUAAUUU